rnacentral:rRNA from 1 species
UGCGAAGGGGGCUAGCGUUGCUCGGAAUCACUGGGCGUAAAGCGCACGUAGGCGGAUUGCUAAGUCAGGGGUGAAAUCAUGGAGCUCAACUCCAGAACUGCCUUUGAUACUGGCGAUCUUGAGUCCGGGAGAGGUGAGUGGAACUGCGAGUGUAGAGGUGAAAUUCGUAGAUAUUCGCAAGAACACCAGUGGCGAAGGCGGCUCACUGGCCCGGUACUGACGCUGAGGUGCGAAAGCGUGGGGAGCAAACAGG